UGUAAAGUCACUGUGACAUGCACAUGAUUUCUGAAGAGUUUACAAAUGCAUUUUACAAUGUUGUGCACAGCUCAUUGUCAAGACAUGUGUAUCACCUUUGUAGAUAUAUUCAGCUUUGGUUUGUGAGAUAUCAGAUAAUCCGAGGUAUGAACUGUGUCCAGCUUUUCUCAUGUACACUGCCAGAAAUACCCAAUUCACAUCUUUCUCCAUUACUAUAUACAAGAUAUUUACUGCUCCUGUGUGUAAGAGUGCUCAUGAAAAUGCUCGUACUGAACCCAUUAUGAGACUGUAUUGUAUACCUACAGCAUUUCCUUAUGGUUCGGGGGAAUUUUUUUAUAUUCAGCAAGUACAUUAAAAUUUUUUCUUAUUUUCUUUUUUUUUUUUGCAGCCACACAAAACGGACAGGAGAACCCUAGAAUGCAAAGAGAUGAGUAACAUACUUUUGCACAGGAUGAAAAUUCAGAAUAUCUGAAUUACUCAUCACAGUUUAUUGUUGGGCGAAUUUAAAGAGGAACUGAGAAAUGACAGUUCCUCGUUACUUUACCUCUGUAAACAUGAUUUCAGAUUUUACUGAGGUGAAUUAUGCCUCUACCGCUUCCAUGUCUCCGUCAACACAUGAUGUCUCACAUUUGAGCAUCUAAGGACAAAUUCCGUAUGUGCACAUGUGCUUAGAAUUUAUUUCACUAGCACUGCACGUAUUAAUGAAUGUAUGUACUUUGCAAAAUAGAAAUGGAUUAAUAAAAAAAAUCACUACCAAUAGCAAACUUUAAAUCGGUAAUUUGGGUUGUGCUAAUCUCAGCUAGAUGACAGUUCCUUUUUAUUGAAUCC